GGGGGCGUAGCUCAGUUGGUUAGAGCGCUGCCCUGUCACGGCAGAGGCCGCGGGUUCGAGUCCCGUCGCUCCCG
rnacentral:tRNA from 1 species